AGGUGCUGCAUGGCUGUCGUCAGCUCGUGUCGUGAGAUGUUGGGUUAAGUCCCGCAACGAGCGCAACCCUUGUCAUUAGUUGCUACAUUUAGUUGGGCACUCUAAUGAGACUGCCGGUGACAAACCGGAGGAAGGUGGGGAUGACGUCAAGUCCUCAUGGCCCUUAUAGGUGGGGCUACACACGUCAUACAAUGGCUGGUACAAAGGGUUGCCAACCCGCGAGGGGGAGCUAAUCCCAUAAAACCAGUCGUAGUCCGGAUCGCAGUCUGCAACUCGACUGCGUGAAGUCGGAAUCGCUAGUAAUCGUGGAUCAGAAUGUCACGGUGAAUACGUUCCCGGGUCUUG
rnacentral:rRNA from 1 species